rnacentral:lncRNA from 1 species
AUCAGACAGAGGAGCUCAAUUUACAGCCAACUUUUGGAGAUCGUUUCAGAAGGGAUUGGGGACACAGGUGAACCCUAGCACAACAUUUCACCCUCAGACUGAUGGGCAGGCUGAGCGUACUAUUCAGACAUUAGAAGAUAUGUUGCGGGCCUGUAUUAUUGACUUCAAAGGUAGCUGGGAUGACCACUUGCCACUCAUUGAGUUUGCCUAUAAUAAUAGCUACCAUUCUAGUAUCCAAAUGGCACCGUACGAGGCCUUAUAUGGGAGGAAGUGCAGGUCACCUAUUGGUUGGUUUGAUUUUGGCGAGACUAAGUUAAUAGGCCCGAAUAUGAUUCAGCAAGAUGUUGACAAGGUGAAGCUUAUUCAAGAAAGAUUAUUAGCAGCCCAGAGUCGACAGAAGUCAUAUGCAGAUAAUCGGCGUCGAGAUCUGGAGUUUCAGAUUGGUGAUUGGGUAUUCCUGAAGGUAUCACCCAUGAGGGGUGUGAUGAGAUUCGGCAGGAAGGGGAAGCUCAGUCCAAGAUACAUUGGGCCUUAUCAUAUUGUUCGUAGGAUAAGCAAGGUUGCCUAUGAGUUGGAUCUACCAUCUGAUUUGGAGACGGUACAUCCAGUCUUCCAUGUAUCGAUGCUACGUAAAUGUAUUGGUUAUCCUUCUAGAGUAUUCCCCGUAGAUGAUGUUCAGGUAACAGAGGAGUUGUCAUAUGAGGAAAAACCCGUAGCUAUACUUGAUCGCCAGGUUAGAAGGUUACGUACUAAGGAUGUGGCUUCCGUCAAAGUGUUGUGGCAAAAUAACAAUAGGGAGGAGAUGACUUGGGAAGCGAAAGACGAAAUGAAGAAUAAGUAUCCUUAAUUGUUCCCCGUAACUGCAGGUAAUUCAAUUCCUAGCUUGACUAUAUUGAUUGAUAAGCGAGAUUAUGUAGUAAGUUGUGACUCUGUGAGGCAUCUGUACGUUACGAAAUGUAGGUUGAUAGAUAUAACUGUUAGAGAGACCUCGCUGGAAUUUGUUUUUGUAAGACGCUAACUUAACAUUCGAGGACGAAUGUUCCUAAGGGGGGAAGGAUGUUAUGCCUCGUAUUUUUUGUACGUAGUGCGCAUCAUGAUCUAGUAGACGUAAGUCCGGGGAAUGAGAUUUUAUUUUAAGUUCCAAGUGAUUAAAGAAAUAUUAGGCAAGGAUGUUAAUUCCAAAUGUGAUAUUAAGUAUGAGUUGGCUAAUGUAAGUGCCAUUAACUUUAAGUGAGGGAUUAAUUAGUGACUGAGUAGGAUUAAUUUAAUCCAAUGGGCCCCACCACUCAUAAUUGGUGGCUGAUUAGGAUUAAUUUAAUCCAGUGGGCCCCACCACUCAAGGCAAAAAUUAAAAAAGGGAUCAGAUUGUGAGCUGGCCUUAGAGGACAGGUGUAGAGGGGGGCUGCCUCCACUUCAUACUAUUAAAUGAGGUGGAGAAAUUCACUCCAUGCUAAAUAAAGUGGUGAAAUGCAUUGCUGCAUAUCUUCUUCUUCACCACUUGUCUUAGGCAGCCAUGGAAAUGGAGAAACCAACCCUGCAACUCUUGGCCAUCAGCUGCAAAUAAUUUGGUUAGUAAUCUCCUUGUUUGGUGUGUUAAUUCUUUAGAAUACCUUUGUUAAUUAUCCAUUAAUUUUAAGAAGGGGGUGUGACCAGUAGCUUAGGAAGUUUGUUUUAGUUAUUGAAUGUGCUAAGUAUGAACGGAAACCAUAAUCGGAUUAUUAGUGGUGUCGUGUUGGUGCUUGGGGUUAGAUUUGGCAAGAAGAGGAAAUUAAUGUGGGCAAACUGCUAUGAAAAACUCCUAGAGAUGGAUCUAUGUUGAAGAAGUAGAUCCAUUAUUCCUUUAAAAAUUAUAAGGUGUAUUUGAAAUGUGUUUCAAGAAAUAAGGGGCAACAUGGGAGGCUGAGGCCGAUGAAGCGUUAAGAUAUUAUGAUUGAAGUUUCAUGAUUUUUGGUGAAGUCUUGCAAAAAUGUGGGUUGCAUUAGUGUAGCCUUUGCCUAUUAUGACUAGAUUCUUAGUGAGUUAUUGGAAACUCCAUGAGAUUAGGUGGAAGGGUUAAUAACAUGUUGUUAUAUCGGUGAUCUUGAGUCCAUUAUUCCUAUUAACGAUCCUCGAUUUCAAGGACGUCGAACCUAGUUCAAGUGUGCCUUAGCCUAUUUUAGAAGGAGGAAAUCCUCAACAAGUUCGAAAGGACUAAAGACCUUGACCUGCAAGUUGAUGUAAACACUGCCUGUGUUUAUCGACGAGAUGAAGGCAAUGAUUGUGUAUGGAUCGACGGUUUGUCAUUGACAACCGUGGAUCAUACAUAGAGAAAUGGAGAAAGCCUCCGCCUGCAACAGUCUCUGACCAAGACGAUGGUUGUGCAGGACAGAGGGGGUACCAACCGUCGACUCACAGACGGCCCGUCGACUGGGUUCCGUUUGUGAGUGUCAAUGUUUUCCUGCAUGUUUUAAUAUUUUUCAUUUAAUUAGUUGAGGGGUUAGGAGGUUAAUUAGGGUUUAAGUGAGUCUAACUAAGUUAAUUAGUGUUAUGCCUCAUAUUUUUUUUAUACAUAGUGCGCAUCGUGAUCUAGAAGACGUAAAUAAAUAUUAGGCAAGGAUGUUAUUUCCAAAUGUGAUAUUAAGUAUGAGUUGGCUAAUGUAAGUGCCAUUAACUUUAAGUGAGGGAUUAAUUAGUGGCUAAUUUGGAUUGAUUUAAUCCAAUGGGCCCCACCACUCAAGGCAAAAAUUAAAAAGGGAUCAGAUUGUGGGCUGACCUUAGUGGACAGGUGUAGAGGGGGGCUGCCUCCACUUCAUACUAUUAAAUGAGGUGGAGAAAUCCACUCCAUGCUAUAUAAAGUGGUGAAAUGCAUUGCUGCAUAUCAUCUUCUUCUUCACCACUUGUCUUAGGCAGCCAUGGAAAUGAGAAACCAACCCUGCAACUCUUGGCCAGCAGCUGCAAAUAAUUUGGUUAGUAAUCUCCUUGUUUGGUGUUAAUUCUUUAGAAUACCCUUGUUAAUUAUCCAUUAAUUUUAAGAAGGGGGCGUGACCAGUAGCUUAGGAAGUUUGUUUUAGUUAUUGAAUGUGCUGAGUAUGAAUGGAAACCAUAACCGGAUUAUUAGUGGUGUCGUGUUGGUGCUUGGGCUGUUUUGAUUAAAGCAAACUGCAGGAAAAUUCUGUUUUGGCAUUAUGUAUAUGUUGAAUGUGAUUAUGAGUAUAUACUCCAAAGGAUGAAUACGAUAAGGUAGAUGUGUUGCGAAUUAUAAAACGAGUUAUCGCUCGGUGUGUCGUUGCUUCGCUGCUAUAGUUGCCGAGAUGGAACUGUUUUGGGGAGGGGGCUGUUUAAUAUGAUUCUUUGGGUUACAUGUGUUAUUGGUAUUGCUGUGGAUAAUUUGGAUUGUUGUCGGAUUGGGACGAAGUAAGGAAAAUAGGGGAGGUGCUGCCGAAUUUUCGUUAGAUUAUUAGCUAGCUUACAAGAAAGUAAAGCACGAUGUUUAUCUAAUUGCGGCACGAUUGUUGCUUGUUAUAGAUUAAUAGCUUGAGCAGUAAAUAUUGGACGUGCGGCUCGAUUAUACGGUAUGUAACGCUGUCCCUUCUUUCUUUGCUUGGCAUGACUUUUAAAAAUAAGCGAAUAACGGACAGAUUUGAUACUUACCUCUAAAGCGUCUAGGUGAUGUAUAUUCUUGCUUCCACAAUUAUUCCUCUAUAUAUCGGCUAUGUCUAAGGCUAUGAUGAUCUCUAAUAUCUAUGGUAAUGCUUCUUAGAGUCAUUGAGAUUUUACGUUUCCAUAUCGUAUUAAAGGUUCAUAAUCUUGAUAAAACAUUAAUCUUUGGUAAUACUCCUUGCUGGUUCACGUUGAUUGUUCUAUUGAGUUAUAAGGAAUGAUUUUAAUUGCAUAUGGUUGCUCAUAAUAUUCUGCUCGUGCAUAGAGUCAUUUAUCAUUUCACCGAGUCCCGGGCCGGGUAAUGUUCGUGCGGAGUUUCUUGCAUAUGUCACCGAGUUCCUCACUAGAGGGCCGGGUAUGUAUAUUAUAUAUAUGAUUGGUGAUGAGGAUGGUUAUGAUGAUGAUGAUGACGGAGAUGACGUGAUGAUUAUUUUGCCGAGCCCCUUACUAGGGAAGCUGGGCACCUUAAAUGUUAAAUAUAUGCAUGAUUUUCACUUAAAAAGUAUAUGUGUAGCGAUAUUUUGUUUCGACUUGCCACAUUGGUAUCCUGUCAUCUUUACCUUAUGCUUUACAUACUCAGUACAUUGUCCGUACUGACCCCCCUUUCCUCGGGGGGCUGCGUUUCAUGCCCGCAGGUGUAGACGCGCAAUUCGGUGAUCCUCCCGCCUAGGAUAUCUACUCUGCUGAUUGGGAGAGCUCCACUGUUCCGGAGCCCAGUCAUUUUGGUACAUAACUUUUGUGUAGUCUUUUGCUCGUCUAUGGGUAUGGCGGGGCCCUGUCCCAUCGAGUUUCACUAAUGUACUCUUAGAGGUCUGUGGACAUUAUGUGGGUUGUAUAUAUAUGUUUUGGAUAAUGGUCUGGACAUGGUUUGUUUGGGAUGUCCGCUUGUACAGGGGCAGCCUUGUCGGCUGCGUACAUCAUUAUGCUUUGAAUAGUGGCGGCCUUGUCGGCUCGCGUAUGCUGUUAUGGUUGAAUGGUUAUGACUCCUUAUGAGACAGGUCCUCUUAUAUAUAUAUGACGUUGGGGUUGGCUUGAUUUGAUUAAAUUCCAUAUUGUCUUAGUUUCAGUUGGUCAUACUUAGCAGGUUUGUAUGUGGGUGUCCAAAACGGGCACUAAUCACGGCCUAUUGGGUUGGGUCGUGACAAAGAGUGGUAUCAGAGCGGUUCUUCCUCGGAAGUGUCUACAGACCGUGUCUAGUAGAGUCUUUUUUAUUGGUGUGUUGUGCACCACAUCUAUAAACAGGAAGCUACAGGACAUUUAGGAUGUCAUUCUUUCUUCUUAUUCUAGAUCGUGCGAUAGAGCUAUAUUAACAGGAUAAUCCCUCUCUAACGAAUCCGUGUGUUUUCAGCUAUGCCUCCAAAGAAAGCGACAGCCGCCCAGAAGGGAAAAUCGGUAGAAGAAGGUACUAGUCAGACCCGGAGAGUUACUCGGGCCCGUGCCCAGUCUAUGCCGGUAUUAUGCUCCAGUUGGAGAGCUCUGCUACACCCCCACCGCCAGAAGAGCUUAGAGCAGCAGCAGCUCCAGUUCGGGGGACACCACCAGCCCCCGAGGCCCCAACAUCUGAACCUCCAGCUCCUCAGUCAGGGGCGGAGGAUAGGGCCAUGAGAGAUGCGGUUCAAUUGCUGACUAGAUUAGUGGCAGAUCAGGCUCGCAGGCAUGGACUAGGAGUUGAUCAUGCGGACAGAUCUGAUAGCUUAAGGGCUCGUGACUUCUUAAGUUGUAAUCCUCCAGAGUUCUUUGGGUCAAGGCCACAGGAUGAUCCGCAAGAGUUUAUUCGUCAGAUGCAGCGUACAUUGAGGAUAAUCAAGGCUUCAGAGACCGAGUCUGUUGGGUUGGCUACGUAUCGUUUGCGGGAUGUAGCUAUUAAUUGGUAUGAGUCUUGGGAGUUAUCUAGGGGUGAGGGUGCCCCUCCAGCGGUAUGGGAUGAAUUUGUGGAGGCUUUCCAGGGCCACUUCCUGCCUCCAGAGAUGAAGCGAGCUAGAGUCGAUAAAUUCUUGCGUUUGAAGCAAAAUGGCAGGAGCGUUCGAGAGUAUAGCCUCGAGUUUGAUUCAUUGGCUAGGCAUGCGCCUUCUAUUGUGGCUGAUAUGGCAGACAGGGUACAUCGUUAUGUGAUGGGAUUGGAUCGUUAUCUGAUUGACGGUUGUAUGGCAGUGACUCUUCAGCCAGGUAUGGACAUUGCUCGGGUGCAGGCAUAUGCACAGGGGGUAGAGGAUCGGCACCGGGGACGUCAGCCAGAUAGAGAUUAUAAUAGUGGCCAGCAUAAGAGGGCUAGAUCAGCAGGUUAUCCUGACGAGUUUCAAAGCGGGCAGUCUCAGCAGCAUGUUAGAUUUUCUUCCCAGCCAGCACAGAGUGCCCCCACGUUUCAUGGGUAGGGGGUUCGAUCGUAUGGGAUAUUCGGAACCUGGUCAGAGCUCUAGGGCGUCAGGGUCACAGAUGGGCAGGGGUUUGAGCCAGUCGAGGCCACUUUUCCUCGGUUUUCUCGUUGUGGUAAGUCUCAUCCUGGGGAAUGUCGUUGGGCUACAGGUGCGUGUUUUUCUUGCGGCCGUCAGGGCCAUACUAUGAGGGAGUGUCACCUUAGAGGUAGUGCAGGUUGUAAGGCACAGCCUACAGGGUCCGUUGCUGGUUCAUCUUCUUCUGUGGCUAUGCGCCCUACGGGGCAGGGUAUUCAGGCACCACCAGGCCGUGGUAGAGGACGUGGUGGAGCUUCCAGUUCUAGUGGUCCCUCAAACCGUAUAUAUGCUUUGACUAAUAGGCAAGAUCAAGAGGCGUCACCUAAUGUGAUCACAGGUAUAUUAUCACUAUUCUCCCGAAGUGUGUAUGCAUUGAUAGACCCAGGUUCCACCUUAUCAUAUAUAUCUCCCUUUUUUGCUAGUAGGAUCGGAAUAGAGUCUGAGUUGAUAGAACCAUUUGAGGUAGCUACACCUGUAGGAGAUUUUGUCAUAGCUACGCGAGUAUAUAGGAAUUGUUCAGUAGCUAUAUAUAGUCAUCAUACCGUAGCAGAUCUAAUAGAGUUAAAUAUGAUUGAGUUUGAUAUUAUCAUGGGCAUGGAUUGGUUGGCUGCUUGUUAUGCUAAUGUUGAUUGCAGAGGAAAGAUAGUUCGAUUUCAAUUUCCAGGGGAACCGAUUAUAGAGUGGAAGGGAAGUACAGUAUCGCCGAAAGGUAAGUUCAUUUCAUACCUCAAGGCCGGGAAGAUGGUUAGAAAAGGCUAUAUUUACCAUCUGAUUCGGGUGCAUGACAUAAAGGCAGAGGCACCGACUCUUCAAUCAGUCCCGGUAGUUAAUGAAUUUCUUGAUGUAUUCCCCGAGGAACUUCCAGGCCUUCCUCCAGAAUGGGAGAUAGAGUUUACUAUAGAUGUACUGCCAGAUACCCAGCCUAUAUCUAUACCUCCUUAUAGAAUGGCACCUGCUGAGUUGAAAGAAUUGAAAGAGCAAUUGAGGGAUUUGCUAGAAAAGGGCUUCAUCAGGCCUAGUACGUCACCUUGGGGAGCACCAGUACUGUUUGUGAGGAAGAAGGAUGGGUCGCUGCGGAUGUGCAUUGAUUAUAGGCAGUUGAACAAAGUAACAAUAAAGAACAGGUAUCACCUCCCAAGGAUUGACGAUCUAUUUGACCAGUUGCAGGGUGCAAAUGUUUUUCAAAGAUAGACUUGCGGUCAGGUUAUCAUCAGGUGCGGGUAAGGGAGGCAGAUAUUCCAAAGACAGCAUUCCGUACCCGAUAUGGGCAUUAUGAGUUUAGAGUGCUGUCUUUUGGGCUGACUAAUGCUCCAGCGGUGUUCAUGGAUUUAAUGAAUAGAGUAUUUAAACCAUUCCUUGAUAUGUUUGUUAUUGUAUUUAUAGACGAUAUUCUGGUCUAUUCACGUUCAGAAGAGGAGCAUGCAGAUCAUUUAAGGAUGGUACUUAGGGUGCUUCAGCACCAGAAGUUGUAUGCUAAAUUUUCUAAGUGCGAGUUCUGGUUGACUUCAGUGGCAUUCUUGGGGCAUAUUAUUGGAGCUGAUGGUAUUCGGGUAGAUACGCAGAAGAUUGAGGCAGUAAAGACUUGGCUUAGACCUACGACACCUACUGAGGUACGCAGCUUUUUGGGGUUAGCAGGAUAUUACAGGAGAUUCGUAGAAAAGUUUUCCUCAAUUUCAGUGCCUUUGACAAGGCUAACUCAAAAGGCAGCCAAGUUCCAGUGGACAGAUGCUUGUGAGCGAAGCUUCCAGCUAUUGAAAGACAAAUUGACUACAGCUCCAGUCCUAACUCUUCCAGAGGGACCAGAUGGCUAUGUUAUUUAUUGUGAUGCUUCGGGUGUUGGGCUAGGAUGUGUAUUGAUGCAGCAUGGCAAAGUUAUAGCCUAUGUCACCCGACAACUUAGGAAGCAUGAAAAGAACUAUCCUACUCACGAUCUGGAGUUAGCGGUCGUGGUUCAUGCCUUGAAGAUAUGGAGACAUUAUUUAUAUGGUUUCCAUGUGGACAUCUAUACAGAUCAUAAGAGUCUCCAAUAUAUCUUUAAACAGAAGGAGCUGAACUUACGACAGAGGCGGUGGUUAGAGUUGCUAAAGGAUUAUGAUGUUUAUAUUUUAUAUCAUCCAGGGAAAGCGAAUGUUGUAGCAGAUGCUCUUAGCCGUAAGUCCAUGGGUAGCUUGACAGAUGUACAACCAUAAGGGAGGGAUAUGGUUCGGGAGAUUCAGCGCCUAUCCAGCCUUGGAGUCCGUCUAGCUAAUUCGGAAGAUAGUGGAGUUUCUAUUCGAGAGGUUGCUGAGUCCUCAAUCAUAGAUGAGGUAAAAAGACACCAAUACAAGGACCCUAUUCUGGCACAGUAUAGAGAUGCAGCUCUUCAAAAGGAAAAGACCCCAUUUAAGGUUACACCUGAUGGAGUGUUACGAUAUGAAGGCAGAUUGUGUGUACCCGAUACUGCGGGGCUACGACGGCAAGUUAUGGGAGAGGCACACUCUGCCCGUUAUUCUAUUCACCCAAGGUCAACAAAAAUGUAUCAUGACCUCAGAUGCUUAUAUUGGUGGGAUGGCAUGAAAAAGGACAUAGCAGAGUUUGUUGCUCAGUGCCCAAAUUGUCAACAAGUCAAGAUCGAACAUCAAAAGCCUGGUGGAUUAUUACAGGAGAUAGAGAUCCCGACUUGGAAAUGGGAGAUGAUUAAUAUGGACUUCAUUACAAGCUUACCUCGCACUCAACGGAAGUAUGACUCUAUAUGGGUUAUUGUAGAUAGGCUGACGAAAUCGGCCCAUUUUCUUCCAGUCAGGACUACUUAUUCGGCUGAAGAUUAUGCGAGGUUAUAUGUCAGGGAGAUAGUGAGACUUCAUGGGGUUCCCACGUCCAUUAUAUCAGACAGAGGAGCUCAAUUUACAGCCAACUUUUGGAGAUCGUUUCAGAAGGGAUUGGGGACACAGGUGAACCUUAGCACAACAUUUCACCCUCAGACUGAUGGGCAGGCUGAGCGUACUAUUCAGACACUAGAAGAUAUGUUGCGGGCCUGUAUUAUUGACUUCAAAGGCAGCUGGGAUGACCACUUGCCGCUCAUUUAAUUUGCCUACAAUAAUAGCUACCAUUCUAGUAUCCAGAUGGCACCGUACGAGGCCUUAUAUGGGAGGAAGUGCAGAUCACCUAUUGGUUGGUUUGAUGUUGGCGAGACUAAGUUAAUAGGCCCGGAUGUGAUUCAGCAAGUUGUUGACAAGGUGAAGCUUAUUCAAGAAAGAUUAUUAGCAGCCCAGAGUCGACAGAAGUCAUAUGCAGAUAAUCGGCGUCGAGAUUUGGAGUUUCAGAUUGGUG